GACGAACGCUGGCGGCGUGCUUAACACAUGCAAGUCGAGCGGAAAGGCCCUUCGGGGUACUCGAGCGGCGAACGGGUGAGUAACACGUGAGUAACCUGCCCCAGACUUUGGGAUAACCCUCGGAAACGGGGGCUAAUACCGGAUACGACACAGCUUCGCAUGGGGUCUGUGUGGAAAGUUUGUCGGUUUGGGAUGGGCUCGCGGCCUAUCAGCUUGUUGGUGGGGUGAUGGCCUACCAAGGCGACGACGGGUAGCCGGCCUGAGAGGGCGACCGGCCACACUGGGACUGAGACACGGCCCAGACUCCUACGGGAGGCAGCAGUGGGGAAUAUUGCACAAUGGGCGGAAGCCUGAUGCAGCGACGCCGCGUGAGGGAUGACGGCCUUCGGGUUGUAAACCUCUUUCAGCAGGGACGAAGCGUAAGUGACGGUACCUGCAGAAGAAGCGCCGGCCAACUACGUG
rnacentral:rRNA from 1 species